rnacentral:rRNA from 1 species
GAUGAACGCUAGCUACAGGCUUAACACAUGCAAGUCGAGGGGCAGCACAGUGUAGCAAUACACGGGUGGCGACCAGCGCACGGGUGCGUAACGCGUAUCCAACCUUCCCGUUACUCUUGGAUAGCCUUCCGAAAGGGAGAUUAAUACAAGAUGGUAUUCAAAUUCCGCAUGUUAUUUGAAUUAAAGAUUUAUCGGUAACGGAUGGGGAUGCGUGACAUUAGGUAGAUGACGGGGUAACGGCCACCUAGCCGACGAUGGAUAGGGGUUCUGAGAGGAAGGUCCCCCACACUGGAACUGAGACACGGUCCAGACUCCUACGGGAGGCAGCAGUGAGGAAUAUUGGUCAAUGGUCGGAAGACUGAACCAGCCAAGUAGCGUGAAGGAUGAAGGUUCUAUGGAUUGUAAACUUCUUUUAUAUAGGAAUAAAACCUCCCACGUGUGGGAGCUUGUAUGUACUAUAUGAAUAAGCAUCGGCUAACUCCGUG